UACGUAGGCAGCAAGCGUUGUUCGGAAUUACUGGGCGUAAAGAGUGUGUAGGCGGUGCUCUAAGUUUGGUGUGAAAUCUCCCGGCUCAACUGGGAGGGUGCGCCGAAAACUGGAAUGCUUGAACGUGGUAGAGGAAAGCGGAAUUCCUGGUGUAGCGGUGAAAUGCGUAGAUAUCAGGAGGAACACCUGCGGUGUAGACGGCUUUCUGGACCAUUGUUGACGCUGAGACACGAAAGCGUGGGUAGCAAACAGG
rnacentral:rRNA from 1 species